CCAAUAGCGUAUAUUAAAGUUGUUGCAGUUAAAAAGCUCGUAGUUGAAUUUCGGGGUUAGUAGGUUGGUCGUGCCUCUGGUAUGUACUGGUCUCACUGAUUCCUCCUUCCUGAUGAGCCGUAAUGCCAUUAAUUUGGUGUUGCGGGGAAUUUGGACUGUUACUUUGAAAAAAUUAUAGUGUUUAAAGCAGGCUAACGCUUGAAUACAUUAGCAUGGAAUAAUGAAAUAGGACGUUCGAUCCUAUUUUGUUGGUUUCUAGGAUUGACGUAAUGAUUAAUAGGGAUAGUUGGGGGCAUUAGUAUUCAAUUGUCAGAGGUGAAAUUCUUGGAUUUAUUGAAGACUAACUACUGCGAAAGCAUUUGCCAAGGAUGUUUUCAUUAAUCAAGAACGAAAGUUAGGGGAUCGAAGACGAUCAGAUACCGUCGUAGUCUUAACCAUAAACUAUGCCGACUAGGGAUCGGAUGAUGUUAAUUUUUUAAUGACUCAUUCGGCGCCUUACG
rnacentral:rRNA from 1 species